CACUGGAGGUGUCCCUAGGCUAUAAUGUAAAUACUGCCUUUUCUCUAAAAAUGCACUCUUUACAUUAACGUGCCUUCAGGGACAUGCUAUAGACACCAUAACAUUAAGUGGUAGUUGUUCUGGUGACUAUAGUGUCCCUUUAAUAGAAAGGGACUAAUAUAAAUAGACUAUUUUAUGUCCUCAUAUUACAACAUGCAGAUGAUAGUUAGAGAGAACAUAGAGAGAUAUAAAAGAUUAUUUGCUAAAUUGAG